CUACAGUAGUCCUAUUUCCUGUAGCCUCCUAGACCCAAUGACCUACAGUAGUCCUAUUUACUAUAGCCUCCUAGACCCAAUGACCUACAGUAGUCCUAUUUCCUGUAGCCUCCUAGACCCAUUGAUCUACAUUAGUUAGUUAGUGUAUGUAAAGCCUUACCCACAACAUUGGACUUUCCUUGUAGUCUGAAAUAAACAAAUCUAAAUUAUAGCAAAAUAAAACCGUACAAAAUAUAUCUCCAUUUACUUUAUUAAAGCAAAUUCCUUCACUUGUGUCUUAUUUACAACAAAUCCCACACACAACAUUGUCGAAUCCAACUGACAGAGAGUUUUGGGGUUUCUCAUGUCUCAGUACUCAUCUCUGAGAGGUUAGGGAGAGGGUCUCAGUACUCAUCUCAGAGAGAGGGUCUCAGUACACAUCUCUGAGGUACGUUAGGAGAGAGUCUCAGUACUCAUCUCAGAGAGAGGGUCUCAGUACACAUCUCUGAGGUACGUUAGGGAGAGGGUCUCAGUACUCAUCUCAGGGAGAGGGUCUCAGUACUCAUCUCAGAGAGAGGGUCUCAGUACUCAUCUCUGAGAGGUUAGGGAGAGGGUCUCAGUACUCAUCUCAGAGAGAGGGUCUCAGUACUCAUCUCAGAGAGAAGGUCUCAGCACUCAUCUCAGAGAGAGGUUAGGGAGAGGGUCUCAGUACUCAUCUCAGAGAGAGGGUGGUAUCCUCAGUAAUUAACCUGACUUCAGAUGUAAGGUACUCCCGUUACUCCCAUGUAGUUAGUUGGUAUCCUCAGUAAUUAGCCUGACUUCUGGAGGUACUCCCGUUACUCCCAUGUAGUUAGUUGGUAUCCUCAGUAAUUAGCCUGACUUCUGGAGGUAUCCUCAGUAAUUAGCCUGACUUCUGGAGGUAUCCUCAGUAAUUAGCCUGAUGUCUGGAGGUAUCCUCAGUAAUUAGCCUGAUGUCUGGAGGUAUCCUCAGUAAUUAGCCUGACUUCUGGAGGUAUCCUCAGUAAUUAGCCUGACUUCUGGAGGUAUCCUCAGUAAUUAGCCUGACUUCUGGCGGUAUCCUCUGUAAUUAGCCUGACUUCUGGAGGUAUCCUCAGUAAUUAGCCUGACUUCUGGAGGUAUACUCAGUAAUUAGCCUGACUUCUGGAGGUAUCCUCAGUAAUUAGCCUGACUUCUGGAGGUAUACUAAGUAAUUAGCCUGAUGUCUGGAGGUAUCCUCAGUAAUUAGCCUGACUUCUGGAGGUAUCCUCAGUAAUUAGCCUGACUUCUGGAGGUAUCCUCAGUAAUUAGCCUGACUUCUGGCGGUAUCCUCUGUAAUUAGCCUGACUUCUGGAGGUAUCCUCAGUAAUUAGCCUGACUUCUGGAGGUAUCCUCAGUAAUUAGCCUGACCUCUGGAGGUAUACUCAGUAAUUAGCCUGACUUCUGGAGGUAUCCUCAGUAAUUAGCCUGACUUCUGGCGGUAUCCUCUGUAAUUAGCCUGACUUCUGGAGGUAUCCUCAGUAAUUAGCCUGACUUCUGGAGGUAUCCUCAGUAAUUAGCCUGACUUCUGGAGGCAUCCUCAGUAAUUAGCCUGACUUCUGGAGGUAUCUUCAGUAAUUAGCCUGACUUCUGGAGGUAUCCUCAGUAAUUAGCCUGACUUCUGGAGGUAUCCUCAGUAAUUAGCCUGAUGUCUGGAGGUAUCCUCAGUAAUUAGCCUGACUUCUGGAGGUAUCCUCAGUAAUUAGCCUGACUUCUGGAGGUAUCCUCAGUAAUUAGCCUGACUUCUGGCGGUAUCCUCUGUAAUUAGCCUGACUUCUGGAGGUAUCCUCAGUAAUUAGCCUGACUUCUGGAGGUAUCCUCAGUAAUUAGCCUGACUUCUGGAGGUAUCCUCAGUAAUUAGCCUGACCUCUGGAGGUAUACUCAGUAAUUAGCCUGACUUCUGGAGGUAUCCUCAGUAAUUAGCCUGACUUCUGGCGGUAUCCUCUGUAAUUAGCCUGACUUCUGGAGGUAUCCUCAGUAAUUAGCCUGACUUCUGGCGGUAUCCUCUGUAAUUAGCCUGACUUCUGGAGGUAUCCUCAGUAAUUAGCCUGACUUCUGGAGGUAUCCUCUGUAAUUAGCCUGACUUCUGGAGGUAUCCUCAGUAAUUAGCCUGACUUCUGGAGGUAUCCUCUGUAAUUAGCCUGACUUCUGGAGGUAUCCUCAGUAAUUAGCCUGACUUCUGGAGGUAUCCUCAGUAAUUAGCCUGACUUCUGGAGGCAUCCUCAGUAAUUAGCCUGACUUCUGGAGGUAUCUUCAGUAAUUAGCCUGACUUCUGGAGGUAUCCUCAGUAAUUAGCCUGACUUCUGGAGGUAUCCUCAGUAAUUAGCCUGAUGUCUGGAGGUAUCCUCAGUAAUUAGCCUGAUGUCUGGAGGUAUCCUCAGUAAUUAGCCUGACUUCUGGCGGUAUCCUCAGUAAUUAGCCUGACUUCUGGAGGUAUCCUCAGUAAUUAGCCUGACUUCUGGCGGUAUCCUCAGUAAUUAGCCUGACGUCUGGAGGUAUACUCAUCUCAGAGAGAGGUUAGGGAGAAGGUCACAGUACUCAUCUCAGAGAGGUUAGGGAGAGUGUUUUGGGUUAACUCCUGGGUACUGGGUAGUGGUUCAGUAAGUACGUCCAAAAUAAUAUAAUAAUAAUAUAAUAUAUGCCAUUUAGCUGACGCUUUUAUCCAAAGCGACUUACAGUCAUGUGUGCAUACAUUCUACGUAUGGGUGGUCCCGGGAAUCGAACCCACUACCCUGGCGUUACAAGCGCCAUGCUCUACCAACUGAGCCACAGAAGGUGGGCACCCUAUUCCCUAUACAGUGGACAACCCAUAGAGCUCUGGUCUAAAGUAGUGCACUAUGUAGGGUAUAGGAUGCCAUUUGAUAUGCAAGAUAGUCAGUACACAUCUCUCAAUGACGUAACAGUCAGUGCCUGGGCUAGCUGCUGGGUACUGGUGGGACCCCAGGGGUUAAAGGUGACUGUUCUGUUCCUGGUGACCAUGAGGAAUCCGUUGGUGCCGAAUCGUCCUGGGACGUCCCCACAUCCAGCCAUACGAAAGCUGCUACGGCAGAGGACUGCAGGGUCACGGUGUAUCCUCCAAUCUCGUCCUGCUGCACCUCGGCCUGAGAGGAGAAAGAGAGGUCACUAUGGAAGUCAUACUGACCAUUCAGAGAGAGAGAGACAGGUCACUAUGGAAGUCAACCAUACCCAGACUACCCUAACAUCACAUACAUUGGUCC